UAGGGGCGUUGGUGGUUAUGUUGUGAAUUUCGUCAAGGAAGUCAAAAGUAGACUAUUUUAAAGAUUAUCGAAGGUUUCAGAGAUCUUAAUAACAUCCAACAGUUAUGGCAGAUGAAGAGGCUGUUCCUGGCGCAGAGGGUCCACUUGUCGCAGUGACAUUUCAGAGGAAUCCUCACCAAAAACAGAAGUACCUGGAGUCUCAACCCAAAGCACUGGGGGUAAAACAUCACGUUCGUCGUAUGAAUCGGACCAAGGCGCAGCGUGCCGGUGACAAAGGUCCAAGUCCCUCCUGCUCAGCAAUGAGGAGAGAUGCCGUGUGAGGACCUAUUAAGACAUGCAAUCCAACCCCCUAACCAACCAGCAAAAAACAUUAUACUUGUCUUAUACUUCCAUCAACUGACAUAUUAUAGGCCUAUAUGCCUACACAUAUGUCAGACCGAUGGAUUUGUUAUUUUUAUUAAAAACUGCUUGGAAUGAUGUAGCCUAAUGUGAGUUAUAUUUUAAUAGGGGUCCUAGCAGGUUGGUGGAACUGUGAUGGAAAACAUUUUGUUGGUGCUUUUCUAUUUACCAAUUUCUGUGUUCUAUGUUUGUGCUUUCUAUAAACCAAUUUCUGUGUUCAUGCAAGUGACUGAUUAAACUAAUCCUCACUAUCAGUAUCUGCAAUUGGCAGUAUGCCCAGAACCUUGUUUAGAGAAAGGGAAAUCCCAGUUUCAAGGUCUCAGCUUAGAGAGAAGAAGCUUUGUGAGGUAUUGGUCUGUCACAUGCAUGACCCAGUAUUGGU